CAUAAAGGACGUGGAGACAGCGGCUGAGAUUUGCGGUGGAAAAUACAGCAAACAGUAGCUGUUCACAAAGAAUUUGAACCAUUCCAGUGUUGACACAGGCAGCCAGUGUAUGGACCAAGUAAAAAGAUUGGAUUUUAUCCCAGAGUACAUGUCUUGAUGGAAAAACUAUGAACCUGCUCAGAAUUACCUCACAGCCUGGCUUUGUAUGGGAAAAGCUGUAGUUAUUAAAUAAAUU